GGGAGCUGGGUGCUGGCAGGUGAUGAGAUCCAAAGGGUCCUCACAUGGCACUGGGGCGGUUUCCCCCCUGCUAAUUUUCAGCUGCGGGGGAGUAAGCCAGUUUUUCUCUCAGCAUCUCUGCUGUUGGGGCUGGGAAGCAGGGCAGGAGCUGGGAUCCGUGCCUCCUUUCCCAGACCCCAAAGGAGCCCCCUGGGUUUCUGUAGCAUCCAGCAGCAUCCCCGAGCAGAGGCGGUGGCACCAGGGGGUGCUGCGCGCUCGCAGCUCGGAGCGCAGCCGCUGCUGCUGCGGAGAUGGCAACAAGAGGAAGGCCUCUGACAAUUUUUGCCCACAAAAUGUUGCUUCUGCACUUCUACAGCCUCUGACAUCCCAAAAUGUAGCUGCAGUCAGGAAGAUUGAAAUAGCAGCGGGAUGCAGUGGGCCACGCCACGGCGUGCAUGGCAAAGCGGCGGAGAUGGAAAUAGUUUCAGAGCAAAGGCAUUAUUAAUGAAGAAUGUAACCAGGGGCCGGACGCCAGGCUCGUGUACCUGAUGCUCACCCGGGCUGUACUUGACCAGCACAUCAAUCUGCUGCCUGCACAAAUUCAUUUUUUAAAACAUCUUCGCUGCCUCUGCCUGCCUGCUGGGAGCUUUGUGCCACUUCAGAGAGCCAGACCCGAGGAGCCCUUACAGCUCCACGUCGGGACGGAGAGCUGCCGGGUCCCAUACCCCUGCUCUGGGCUGUCCCGGGGCAUGGCAGCCCCCUCCUCACCCGCAGGAUGCCCACGGACCCCCGGGGCCCUGCUCCCAGCUGGGAGAGCUGCCCCUGCCCCAGGCUGUGGGCACACGUGGAAGCUCUUGGCCAAGGGAAAUGCAAAUCCGGGACAAUCAGCCUGAGCAGCAGCGAGGUACGAGGUGAUGAAACCCAAUCAGUUAAUAACACUUCAUGGCAGCAAAAGAAUUGCAGAUGAUCGUGUUUUUAAAUACCUUUUUUUUUUUUUUUUUUUUUAAUCUCCUCGACAGAGCUAUUCCCCUGGGAGAAAUCUCACGUCAGCAAGCCCCAGGGGCUGCUGCUUCCCAAGCCCAGGAACGGGAGCCUCAGCAAAGCUCUGGCACUGCAGCCUGCACACCGCUGGGGUUCCUGUGAAUGCAUUUUUGGGACGCACCAGCCCUGCUGCCUCACAGAGCCCCUCUGUCCAUGCAGGCAGUGUUUGGUGCUGGGCGCUGUGCCCUGUGCCCCCCAGCUGGGCCCUGCCACGCUGCCAGGGGGUCCCUGGGGUCUGGGGGCAUGGGGAUGAGCACUGUGGGACCAAAACGGCUCAACAGCCACCGCUGGCGAGCAUGAGAAAAAUAAAGGUUUGAGACCCGGAGAGUAAUCA
rnacentral:lncRNA from 1 species